rnacentral:rRNA from 1 species
UGCAGUCGAACGCACUUUCGUUGAAUGAAUUAGAGGUGCUUGCACCGAAGAUGAUUUUAGCUAUAAAGUGAGUGGCGAACGGGUGAGUAACACGUGGGUAACCUGCCCAGAAGUGGGGGAUAACACCUGGAAACAGAUGCUAAUACCGCAUAACAAAGUAAACCGCAUGGUUUACUUUUAAAAGAUGGCUUCGGCUAUCACUUCUGGAUGGACCCGCGGCGUAUUAGCUAGUUGGUGAGAUAAAGGCUCACCAAGGCAGUGAUACGUAGCCGACCUGAGAGGGUAAUCGGCCACAUUGGGACUGAGACACGGCCCAGACUCCUACGGGAGGCAGCAGUAGGGAAUCUUCCACAAUGGACGAAAGUCUGAUGGAGCAACGCCGCGUGAGUGAUGAAGGCUUUAGGGUCGUAAAACUCUGUUGUUGGAGAAGAACGUGUGUGAGAGUAACUGCUCAUGCAGUGACGGUAUCCAACCAGAAAGCCACGGCUAACUACGUGCCAGCAGCCGCGGUAAUACGUAGGUGGCAAGCGUUAUCCGGAUUUAUUGGGCGUAAAGCGAGCGCAGGCGGUCUUUUAAGUCUAAUGUGAAAGCCUUCGGCUUAACCGAAGAAGUGCAUUGGAAACUGGAAGACUUGAGUGCAGAAGAGGACAGUGGAACUCCAUGUGUAGCGGUGAAAUGCGUAGAUAUAUGGAAGAACACCAGUGGCGAAGGCGGCUGUCUGGUCUGUAACUGACGCUGAGGCUCGAAAGCAUGGGUAGCGAACAGGAUUAGAUACCCUGGUAGUCCAUGCCGUAAACGAUGAAUGCUAAGUGUUGGAGGGUUUCCGCCCUUCAGUGCUGCAGCUAACGCAUUAAGCAUUCCGCCUGGGGAGUACGACCGCAAGGUUGAAACUCAAAAGAAUUGACGGGGGCCCGCACAAGCGGUGGAGCAUGUGGUUUAAUUCGAAGCUACCCGAAGAACCUUACCAGGUCUUGACAUCUUCUGCCAAUCUAAGAGAUUAGACGUUCCCUUCGGGGACAGAAUGACAGGUGGUGCAUGGUUUCCUCCACUCCUUGCCUGGAAAUGUUGGGUUAAUUCCC